rnacentral:tRNA from 1 species
GUCUAGGUGGCCUAGCGGUACAAUAACACAGAUUUGGGAGGGCGCCCGGCCGCGGUGCCGACCGCAAUACCAAAUACAGGUAGUGGGUUGCCACGCCGGGGGUCACCGGUUCGAGUCCGGUGGCGGGCA